CCUACGGGUGGCAGCAGUGAGGAAUCUUUGUCACUGGGCUUACGCCUGAACCAGCCACGUCGCGUGCGGGAAGACUGCCCUAUGGUUUUUAAACCUCUUUUGUCACGGAGCAAUUGGCGCUACGUGUAGCAUUAUCGUGAGUACCUGAAGUACAAGCAUCCGCUAACUCCGUGCCAGCAGCCGCGUUAAUACGGAGGAUGCGAGCGUUAUCCGUAUUUAUUGGGUUUAAAGUGUGCGUAGGCGGAAUGCCAAGUCAGCGGUAAAAUCGCGGGGCUCAAACUCGGUCCGCCGGUGAAACUGGCGUUCUUGAGUGGGCGAGAAGUAUGCGGAAUGCGUGGUGUAGCGGUGAAAUGCAUAGAUAUCACGAAGAACUCCGAUAGCGAAGGCAGCAUACCGGCGCCCAACUGACGCUGAAGCACGAAAGCGUGGGUAUCGAACAGGAUUAGAUACCCGUGUAGUC
rnacentral:rRNA from 1 species